rnacentral:rRNA from 1 species
CACUGAGGAUUGACAGGCAAUAUUAGUACGUCAGUUCGCUGUGUAUUAUGUUAAAUAUGCUAGUCCUUUCAUGAUUAUGUGAUAGGUGGUGCAUGGCCGUUCUUAGUUCGUGGAGUGAUCUGUCUGCUUAAUUGCGUUUCACUAAGGGCCUAUAAUUUUACGUGUGUUACAGCACUUUGACCCCUCAGCAAUGAGCGCGCGUCUUAGUUUGCUUGCUCGCACAAUUAGGUCCUGAAAGCAACGAACGUGACCGCAACCUCUUGUUGCCUUUAUACCAAACAUGUUUUGUUUAUGUCUUCAUAGAUAUUCAUGAAAAAAGGCUUUUAAACUAGAGGGACCGCUGUUACUUUCUUAAACCAGAGGAAGGUUGCGGCAAUAACAGGUCUGUGAUGCCCCUAGAUGUUCCGGGCUGCACACGUGCUACAAUGAUUAUUGCAGUGAGCAUCUCAUUUUUACACACCGCAUGCGCGAGUCUAUUUAUUCGUGUUCGCACGUUUUAAAUAUGUAUUUCUGCGCGCGGUAAAGCCUGCUUCGAAAGUAAGUGGGUAAUCAAUUAGAAGUAAUGAUUUCCUUUUUUUAGCACACAUAUAUACGGCGUCUAUGCCCGGGCUGCCUUGUUGUAGCUUUUGUGCGUAUAGAUGUUUUUUCCGUAUGUGCGAUUGUCGAUUCAUGGUGGGGACAGACCAUUGUUAAUUGUUGGUCUCGGUCUUAACUAGGAAUGCCUUGUACGGGUCUUGGUUCAACAAACCACCCGGAAUACG